CGGCCUGACAUCGUCGCCACAUAGAAUCAAUCAAUCGCUGCACUGCCUGUUGAGGGAUGUUAUUCCACUCUUCAUGCAAUGCUCUCUCAAGUUGAGGAAGUGUCUGAGGCUGGUGUUGUCGCAUGUUGUUCAACUCAUCUCUGGUUUGUCUUGCCGUUUUGAAACGAUUUCGUAGAUGCGACAGGCGCAUAGAAAGAUCCUCUCAUGGAGUAGUUAUUCUUCUCCCAAGUCGACGGGGUUGAUUUUUUGUGACACUUUUGUUCUUUCACGAUCCAUUGUUGCGUACACGGCUCUUCUUGUUACAUUAAAAUGUCGCGCAGCAGUGGAUACCGAGGCAGCCCAGCGGAUCAUUCCAACAAGCUGAUUUUGCACAUUUUUCUCUUAGACGUGGCAUCACCAAACGUAGAUAACACAAGUUUUUAGCACUGGCGAAUUGUUACAAAAAUGACAAAGCUUUGAUGUGUACUUCUUUUUUCAGCAAAUCGUUGCUGUGACAUGCGUAAUUCUCCCCCCCCCCCCAAA